AGAGUUUGAUCCUGGCUCAGGAUGAACGCUAGCGGCAGGCUUAAUACAUGCAAGUCGAGGGGCAGCAGGACUGUAGCAAUACAGUUGCUGGCGACCGGCAAACGGGUGCGGAACACGUACGCAACCUACCCAUAACUGAGGAAUAGCCCGGGGAAACCCGGAUUAAUACUUCGUAACAUAAUGAGAUGGCAUCGUCUUAUUAUUAUAGCUCCGGCGGUUAUGGAUGGGCGUGCGCCUGAUUAGGUAGUUGGCGGAGUAAUAGCCCACCAAGCCUACGAUCAGUAACUGGUGUGAGAGCACGACCAGUCACACGGGCACUGAGACACGGGCCCGACUCCUACGGGAGGCAGCAGUAAGGAAUAUUGGUCAAUGGACGCAAGUCUGAACCAGCCAUGCCGCGUGAAGGAUGAAGGUCCUCUGGAUUGUAAACUUCUUUUAUAUGGGACGAAACCCUCGUUUUCUAACGGGAUUGACGGUACCAUAGGAAUAAGCACCGGCUAACUCCGUGCCAGCAGCCGCGGUAAUACGGAGGGUGCAAGCGUUAUCCGGAUUCACUGGGUUUAAAGGGUGCGUAGGAGGGCAGGUAAGUCAGUGGUGAAAUCCCCGAGCUUAACUUGGGAACUGCCGUUGAUACUAUCUGUCUUGAAUACCGUGGAGAUGAGCGGAAUAUGUCAUGUAGCGGUGAAAUGCUUAGAUAUGACAUAGAACACCAAUUGCGAAGGCAGCUCGUUACACGAAUAUUGACUCUGAGGCACGAAAGCGUGGGGAUCAAACAGGAUUAGAUACCCUGGUAGUCC
rnacentral:rRNA from 1 species